rnacentral:tRNA from 1 species
AUUAAUAUGAUAUAGUUGAUAAAAAUGUAAGAUUAAUAAAUAAUAAAUAUUUAGAUGCUUAAUUUACAUAUACAUGUAUAUUUUAUUUUUUAAGAUAUAUAAGUAAUUAUUGAGUUAAAGCUGACAUUUAGAAAAGCAUAUAUGUUUUUAAUUGCGUAUAUUUUUUAUAAAAAUAAUUUAUUUUGAAAUAAUUUAAAAAUAAUGAUUUUGUAUUUAUA